rnacentral:rRNA from 1 species
AUUGAACGCUGGCGGCAUGCCUUACACAUGCAAGUCGAACGGCAGCACGGGUGCUUGCACCUGGUGGCGAGUGGCGAACGGGUGAGUAAUACAUCGGAACAUGUCCUGUAGUGGGGGAUAGCCCGGCGAAAGCCGGAUUAAUACCGCAUACGAUCCACGGAUGAAAGCGGGGGACCUUCGGGCCUCGCGCUAUCGGGUUGGCCGAUGGCUGAUUAGCUAGUUGGUGGGGUAAAGGCCUACCAAGGCGACGAUCAGUAGCUGGUCUGAGAGGACGACCAGCCACACUGGGACUGAGGCACGGCCCAGACUCCUACGGGAGGCAGCAGUGGGGAAUUUUGGACAAUGGGCGAAAGCCUGAUCCAGCAAUGCCGCGUGUGUGAAGAAGGCCUUCGGGUUGUAAAGCACUUUUGUCCGGAAAGAAAUCCUUGGCUCUAAUACAGUCGGGGGAUGACGGUACCGGAAGAAUAAGCACCGGCUAACUACGUG